rnacentral:rRNA from 1 species
CAACCUAAACAGCCAUCCACCCCGCUGUUCGCCCGGGAACUACGAGCACUAGCUUAAAACCUAAAGGACUUGGCGGUGCUUAAAACCCCCCUAGAGGAGCCUGUUCUUUAACCGAUACCCCCCGUUUAACCUCACCCCCUUUUGCCUUCCCGCCUAUAUACCGCCGUCGUCAGUCAACCCUGUGAGGGACCUAUAGUCAACACAACUAGUAAUGCUUAAAACGUCAGGUCGAGGUGUAGCCCAUGAGGGGGCAAGAAAUGGGCUACAUUCUCUGUAACAGAACACACGAAAGAUAUGCUGAAAACCAUGACAGAAGGAGGAUUUAGCAGUAAGGAGUAGAUAGAGUAC